GAUGAAGAACGUAGUGAAAUGCGAUAAGUAAUGUGAAUUGCAGAAUUCAGUGAAUCAUCGAAUCUUUGAACGCACCUUGCGCUCCUUGGUAUUCCGAGGAGCAUGCCUGUUUGAGUGUCAUUAAAUUCUCAACCUCACCAACUUUGUUGUGUGAAGGCUUGGAUGUGGGGGUUGCAGGUCCGCACUCGUGUGGUCUGCUCCUCUAAAACGUAUUAGUGGGUUAGUCCCCUAAUCUAUUGGUGUGAUAAUUAUCUACGCCGUGGAUUUGGUAGGCUAUCAUAGACCUGCUUCUAACCGUCCUCUGGACAACUUUGACAAUUUUGACCUCAAAUCAGGUAAGACUACCCGCUGAACUUAAGCAUAUCAAUAAGCGGAGGA
rnacentral:misc_RNA from 1 species